rnacentral:miRNA from 1 species
AUAUUAGGUUGGCGCAAAAGUAAUUGUGGUUUUCGCCAGUACUUUCAAUGGCGAAAACCGCAAUUACUUUUGCGCCAACCU